rnacentral:rRNA from 1 species
AACGAACGCUGGCGGCAUGCCUAACACAUGCAAGUCGAACGAGACCUUCGGGUCUAGUGGCGCACGGGUGCGUAACGCGUGGGAACCUGCCCUUAGGUUCGGAAUAACUCCCCGAAAGGGGUGCUAAUACCGGAUAAUUUCUUCGGACCAAAGAUUUAUCGCCUUUGGAUGGGCCCGCGUUGGAUUAGCUAGUUGGUAGGGUAAAGCCUACCAAGGCGACGAUCCAUAGCUGGUCUGAGAGGAUGAUCAGCCACACUGGGACUGAGACACGGCCCAGACUCCUACGGGAGGCAGCAGUGGGGAAUAUUGGACAAUGGGCGAAAGCCUGAUCCAGCAAUGCCGCGUGAGUGAUGAAGGCCUUAGGGUUGUAAAGCUCUUUUACCCGGGAUGAUAAUGACAGUACCGGGAGAAUAAGCUCCGGCUAACUCCGUG